AGCUAGUGUGGCAUAGUGGUUUGGGUGUUGGAUUCCAACUCUUGAGACCUGGGUUCGAUUCCCAGCUUGGCCA